UACGGGGGGAGCAAGCGUUGUUCGGAUUUACUGGGCGUAAAGGGCGCGUAGGCGGCCACGACAAGUCAGUUGUGAAAUCUCUGGGCUUAACUCAGAACGGUCAACUGAUACUGUCGGGCUAGAGUGCAGAAGGGGCAACUGGAAUUCUCGGUGUAGCGGUGAAAUGCGUAGAUAUCGAGAGGAACACCUGCGGCGAAGGCGGCUAACUGGUCCAGUACUGACGCUGAGGUGCGAAAGCCAGGGGAGCAAACGGG
rnacentral:rRNA from 1 species